ACCCUGGGCUCUGAUUUCUCAGACUCGAAGUUUUUGCCCAACUUUCCCCCACCCCCACCUCCCAACCCACCCCUAAUCUGCUCCUAUUCCCUUUUCUCUGGCCACCGGAUUUCCAGUUCUUCCAGCGCACUACUCAAGCCCCGAGAAAGCAUCUGUAAACUCAACUCCAGAACAACUGGCUUCAUGUUUCUCUGAGGCUGAUGGUAAACCACAAUCUUCCUGGAACACCUGGAAAGCUUAAACUGGUUAUUCUCCCCAUCCCUGAGAAAGGAUGAUACCGUCCGUCUACUCUGAGUUCUGAAGAUCAACACACUUCUCCAUGCUCUUGUUUGAAGAGAAUUUGUCUUGGCUGGGACCCCAUCUGUAGCUCUUGAGACAGAGACAAUUUCCUGGGGACUCUCAGGCCUGACAACUAGACAUUUAAUCCUAAAAUCCCAUGGAGCCAGUUGGUUAUUGAAGACCUUAAGGCAAUAUCAUGAUGUUUUAAGAGCAGACUCCAGAUCUGAUGGCCUGAAUUCAUACCAACUCUUAGGUAAGUUAUUCUGUAUAAAUUUUUACCUCUCUGAGCCCCAGUUUCCUCAUUUGUAAAAUGGGUAUAAUAGCAGCUUUCUUGUAGAUGGUCAUGAAGAUUAAAUGUUACAGGUAAUCCACAUUAAUUGCUUAAUACAAUUGCUUGGUGGUUAGUAUACAUUAUCUAUAUAGUGUCAUUUGUCCUUCUCAUAUUCAAAUAUCUUUAUGAUUUCAUUGUUACAGUGCCUGCUAGUAGAACUGAUGGUGUGUUAAGCAACAGGGAUCAAUUAUCUUCCUGACAAAGUGUCAUUAUCUCAUGGGCCCAGAUAUAGUCAGAGAUAGCCUGAUCUCUUAGCAAUAUUUGCCAUGGAUAUGGGAGGAGGAGUGCCAGCAUAUAUGCUUCUUAGUUGUCAUUCUUUUCUGUAGGCCUCUAGGAGGUAAGAACUGGAAUAAGGAAGCCUCAACUGUGUGAAUGUCAGGGGGAAGCAGCCAGUAAAGGGGGAUGUCUGGAUAGAGGAAGCAGAGCACCAAGAGGAUCAGGACAGCUAGGAAAUGCUCGGGAGGUGGAUUGGGAAGGAUGUAAAGCAGAAGAUGGCAUUCAGAAAGCUAAAUUUACCAGUUUUAGGAGAUUUAAAGCUGGGGUGGUGGCACCAAAGAGGGAAUUACUGAUUUUUUGUGGGUGAAGGA
rnacentral:lncRNA from 1 species